rnacentral:lncRNA from 1 species
UUGGUGUCCAACGUCUAAUGUGCAUUCAAAAGUCAGAUUAAAAGUUAUCUUGGACGUAAAAUUAGUUAGAUAACCGACGUCUAGGUGACUAUAACAUCAGUUUCUGGAGCAAGCGACGCCCCAUUUUAUGUUAAAUAAAUCGCAGACUCUUCGCGGCAUUGCAGUUUCUGAUAUCAUCGUCUUCCUCCUCUCCUUUUUCUCUCUUGCGACUCCUCUCCUUUUUCUCUCUUGCGGCAUUGCAUUAUUGUUUCUGAUAACAUCAUCGUCUUCCUCCUCUCCUUUUUCUCUAUUGCAGCAUUGCAUCCCAAGUGCGUGUUUUUUUAUGGUUACCAUUUAAACUUUGUUCAGUCUUUCAUCGACUAUCUUUUGGUUUAACUGAUUAAAAUUUGUUUUCUUUGUAUUGUGUUUUAGUGCAGUUUUGUUCCUUUCUUGGGUAACGUAGUACCACAUUCUCC